GCACCAGCAGUUCUGAAGAUCUUUUCGAAGAAGACCAAGGAGGAGCAUCAUGGACCGUGACUGUAAAUGCGGAGAUCCCAAGUGCAUCUGCACCGACUCGUGCAAGUGUCCGGCUGGAGAGUGCCCUUGUGACAAGUGCAAGCCGAAGAGCGCUGAGAAGAAAUGCUGCUGUUAAGCGUGGUGCUUGCUCCAGAUUGCCGUGGUUCCCCACAACCCCCGAAAAACAUCAUGCGACCUCAUAGACAUCGACAACACCGUCAAUAAAUAUUUAUUUAUGAAAUGAA